rnacentral:rRNA from 1 species
ACAGCAGCCGCCGCGGGAAUACAGAGGGUGCGAGCGUUAAUCGGAUUUACUGGGCGUAAAGCGUGCGUAGGCGGCUUCUUAAGUCGGAUGUGAAAUCCCUGAGCUUAACUUAGGAUUUGCAUUCGAUACUGGGAAGCUAGAGUAUGGGAGAGGAUGGUAGAAUUCCAGGUGUAGCGGUGAAAUGCGUAGAGAUCUGGAGGAAUACCGAUGGCGAAGGCAGCCAUCUGGCCUAACACUGACGCUGAGGUACGAAAGCAUGGGGAGCAAACAGGAUUAGAUACCCGUGUAGUCCCUGUCUCUUAUAC